GGUGGGAUGGCCGAGUGGUCGAAGGCGCGCGACUCGAAAUCGCGUAACCCCCACAAAGGGGUUCCAGGGUUCGAAUCCCUGUCCCACCGCCA
rnacentral:tRNA from 1 species